AGAGGAUAAAGUAGAAAUAAGAGCCAUGGGAGCCUUGGGCCAGUGAUGAAGCUCAUCAGCAAGGCCCUGAGGCUCUGCUUCCCUGGAGGCAGGGGCUGAGGCCCCAGGACAACUUCCGUGAGGGCAGAAGGCAUCCACGCCAGGCACAUCUGCCCUGGAGGCUGAGAAGUCUGAGAUGAAUGAGCCCCUUAGCUAUUCCAGAUGAUUUCCCUGCGGCCCAGCUAGCAUGUAAAUCCAGCACCCAGUUGGCAGGCAGGAUAAUUCCUCAAACAGAGAGGCCACCUGCCAGAAUGGGGCUGAGUGUUCCGAGUAGCUAACCAAGGAGAAUAGAAAAUCUGCCAAUGAGGCCGUUUCUAAACACACAACUGUCUCGAGGAAGGGGAAAGAAGGGACUGUAAUUCAGUCAUGGAGAAGGAUGUAUAAAAAGGCCAUCUCAGGGCCUGCUUCUAGAAAACCCAAUCUGCAGCUCUGAAUGGCUCCGCUAGCACCCACGGUGUCCAGCUUGAAGACUCUGCCUCGUGGGGCCUCUUCAAAUGGAGGUCAUGUGUCCUCUUCCUUUUUUGGGAGAUGGCUGAGGGGCAGAGAACUUUCCUGUGCAUUGAGAAUCCUUCCCAGCCUCCAGUGAGAGGUGAGUCUGGCACCCUUUUCCCCAGGUGGACCUGGCUGCCCACUUUGGGUCUUGCCACAUGAAGAAAGCCAUUCUGCCUGGCAGAAUUGCAGCAAGCCUGAUGUUUAACCCCGAAAGGAGAAACUUCUUUGCCCUAGCCACAUUCUUUUUGAACUCCAUAAUAGGGGAGGAAGCUAAGGAGAAUCAUGCAUCAAGAGAAAAAAUGUUCAUAUUCCCACUGGAAAGGAAGGUGGGUCAAUUUGAAAACACGGUAUAACAGCAAGUGGUACAGAAGCCCAGCCUGGAAAACAGUGCUGUGAUGCCCAGGAAAUGAUAAAACCACCCCGGCGCUCCCUGGGGUCAGGCCAAGGUCUGCAGUCAUAACCGCCUGCUCUCCUUCCAUUCCCUCCAGCUUCACGGCAUGUGGUUGGUGUCGAUGGCCCAAAUACAAAGGUUAUGUAUAUAUCAGAGCCCUCAGACUGAGAAAGAAAAAUUGUUCCAAGAAAUCAAGUAUUUUAUCUACAUGGAGAAAACCAGAGCCCCGAGAGUAGUUAACCCAGGAGCUUCCAGAGUCCCCCAGAGUGGAAGCCCAACCUCCUUGGGCUCUGAGAUCCAUUGUUAUGAGCCCAAAGGGCAGCCCAGAGGUUGAGGGGUGACAAGGAGGGAGGAGAGGGCCGGCAGACCUGAAGCUCCCCUGCCUGUAAGUGUGAGUCCCCUCCAUGCCAUCAUCUUGAGGCCGUGCUUCCAAAGAUGGUGCUUAUCCUAGACAUUAAGGAAAAGGGGGCUAACAGAACAAAAACACUUGGGUAAAAUAAUAUCCACAAGGUAGGAAAUUUGGAGAAGAUUUUUGAAAGGUUAGGGAAGAAAAACUUUU
rnacentral:lncRNA from 1 species